rnacentral:sRNA from 1 species
UUUUCUGAAAGAGCCAGUAGAGACAGCUGUAGCUGCAGCGGGAGCCCCUAACCCCUGAGGAAGUACAGUCUGUUCGAGAACACCUUGGUCAUGAAAGUGACAACCUGCUGUUUGUUCAGAUCACAGGCAAAAAACCAAACUUUGAAGUGGGUUCUUCUAGGCAGCUUAAGUUUUCCAUCACCAAGAAGUCUUCUCCUUCAGGUAAGGCUGGCCUAGGGACAUUCUUCUGUUUGAAUGGGCUUAGAGGGACAUGUUAGAAAUUGAGCCAGCAAUAAAUGAGAUGGUGAUAUUUUUAGAGGAUUAGUCCUUUGAUUUCUGCCAUUUCCACAUAGAAGAAUACUUAAUGUACUAUUAUCAUGGGCAUAUUAGGAUCCAAAACUGAAAUAAUACAUAGGUAUUAUCUAGUUCAGCUCCUUCUUCUGCGCCAGAAGAUACCGAGGCCUCCUAAUUCUACAGGACUGAGUCACACAGUUUAAUUAAUGAGGUCCUUCCAGGUCCCAGAAUUAACGUUUCUCCUCAGAAGACCUCACAGUGUAGUGGUAAUGGUGUAUGAGAGUGCCCUGUUCCUGUUCUCAUGUGCUUUUUUCCCCAUGCCAG